AUUGGUAAAUUAGUUAACUUAAUUACCAAAGGUAGAAACCCAAACAACAACCAACAGAAAACAACAAGGGAAACAAAAGCUAAGGGAGCACAGCCCGCACCCAAGCAAAAACAAAAAACACUAAAACAUUCUACAACGACACCAGCCAAACUCGCAAAAUUUGAGUUAUAAAAGGUCAUUUUUUACAAAUUUGCAAUGCUUGUAUAAUAACACUUUAAACAUUAACAUUUGAUUUUUGCCUUGUUUUUUCCCUGUAUGAAUUAAAGGUUAGUUCCUACUUCCUAAUCAAUGGCGAAGAGACAAAAGUUAAAAGUGCUAAGUGUACUUGACGUAGCAAAGACACAAUGGUACCACUUGAAAGUUUUCAUGAUUCUUGGUAUGGGCUUCUUUACUAAUGUCUAUGAGCUUUUCUCCAUAUCUGUGGUGACCAAAAUCUUAGGCCGUCUCUAUUACACUGAGCCAAAUCCAACUAGCCCAGGGUUUAUACCCAUGAAUGUGGCCUUGUGUGGUACCUUUGCUGGGCAACUCAUCUUUGGGUGGUUAGGUGACAAGUUAGGAAGGAAAAAGGUAUAUAGUCUUACCUUAGUCAUAAUGGCUUUCUUAUCCUUAGCCUCUGAUGUUCAUUAACUUGCUGCUUAAACUGUGACUUUCUUUAAUUAUCACGCUUGCCCAUUUGAAAACCAAAAAAAAAAAAAACAAGACACCAGCCCAACAAGCUACACAGCAGAACCAGACUGAACAACACAAGGUUUGCACAAAAGAACUGCACAACAGCAAGCCAGCCUGAGCAGAACAGUAUGCCUGACUGACUGCAAACCUGCAAAACUACGCAACACCAAGACUGAGCAGUAGCAGCAGCUACAACAGCAGGACCUCAAGAACUUUCAGUUUUCAGAUUCAGUAGCAGUAGCAGGACCUCAACAUCAGGACCUCAACAACAGUAGCAGUAGCAGCAGAUUCAGUUUUCUCAUGUUAUCAAAGCUGUAGAUUCUUAAUCUUUCGAGUUUAGUUCCUCUUGUCAGUUAUAGAUUUAGAUUAAGACCCCAAGAACUUUCUUUUUUCCUUUGAUAUAAUAUUCAGGCGUGAUGAGAAGCAAAGCAAGUGAUGCUUACAAGUACAAUAGCUAAAGAAUUUGUACUUGGUAUUCAUUUAUUGGUAAUUGGUAUUCAUUUCUUAUGAUUUUCUUUUUACUGGUGAUUUUAGAUGGAUGAGGAAAUGCUAGAGGAGGAAGUUGGGGAAACAGAAGAAGAGACAAGUACCAAGAAUAUGUGGGAAAGUGUGGAAACUCUCACUAAAUAUUAUAAGGAGGCUGUUUAAUUGGGGAUUAUCAGACCAUUACAGAAUAGAGAUCGCUGUUUACCGACUAGAAACAGAAAAGAACGAGUUGGUUGAGAAAUUAUCAACUUUGACAGAAGAGAUAACUUCUGGAAAGGAUAGAUUUAUCCGCCUGCAAGCUGACUUUGAUAACUUUAGAAGGAGAUCAGGUAAAGAGAGACUAUCAGUUCGAAGCGAUGCACAGGGAGAAGUAAUUGAGAGUCUUCUUCCAAUGGUGGACAACUUUGAGAGGGCGAAGCAACAGUUACAACCAGAAACGGAUAAGGAAAAACAGAUUGAUACGAUUUUUCUAAGAUAGUACUAUGAGUGAACAGACCAAAAACGAAACAGACUAUAGAAGUCAAUCAAACAGAAAACAAGCUUAUACUAUGAGCAAUUUCUAUGGCAACUAAAACUUUUUAUAGUAGUUGAUUUCAGACUUAUCUCUCACUCAUGGUCAGAGUUUGAAUGAGGUUUUAUUAGGAGAGUAAGUCGGAGUCGCUGCUGUCUUGGAUUGACAUUUAACACUGUGUUUUCUUUACGCGUUACAGAAGGAGCAUCAUAAAUUAACUAACAGAAACCAUAGUUUGUUAACAACCCAGACCUAACACCAAACUCGUGUUUCAGCUAAUAUCAACAUAAUACCUUAUUAUGAUAAUACUAAAUCUAAACAUCUACCUUCUAAUCUCACCAUCAUCCAUAAAUAAUCGACAACUAUAAAGCUUGUUUCAGCUAUAAGUUUAUCUAUAAAGCAUGAAAUGCAGUUAAUUAAUUCCAUAUGAAAUUACCUUGCAUUUGGCAAUAGUGUCAAAGUCUCAUUUCUCGGCCUGGUUGUCACCAUUGCCACCAGAAUCAUCAGUAAUCUACAAAAAGCAUUUUAAUAUGUAAAUUAGAUAUGCCACAUUUCAGGUAAUGAUACAUGAUGCUCAAUCAGAAUAAUUUCCAGAAAUAACUAACCAUAUUUAUUGCUGAUUCCGCACCAUCUAAAAGGUUCGAUGAAACAUUCCCUUUGCGUACUUCCUUCAAAACUUGUCCCAAAAAAGAAGCAAUCAUUUUAAAUGAUUGUGUUGUUUCUUCAAACUUGGUGUUUAGAACUUGAUUUUGUUGCGCAAGGUCCUCAUUUUGCUUCUUGACAACUGAUAUUUCACCUUUCAUGUUCUCCACUUCCAUAGCAUUGUUGUUAACAUAGCUUGACCCUUCUUUCCUCAGCAAACCUUCCACUCCAAAGAUGUCGCUUUGCUUCACUCCAAAUCCAUAAUUCAGAGGACGUUUAGGUACUUCACCUUUAUACAUGAGCUCAUUAAAGACUGCAUUCUCAAUUUCAAUUACGGGCUUUGAAGAAGAGGAACUCGCAAGAUUUUCUUGGACCUUUUUGUUGGCAUCCUCCUGUUAUAUAAUAUGAAAAGAUCACUCAAAAUCUAUUAACCAAGAAUACUAUGUACAAGCAAAGAAAAAAAUAAAUAGACUUCAAGAGACAAGAUUGAUUUAUAGAAUUAGCUCAAUGCAAUGAUACCACAAAUUGAUGAGGAAGUGUGCCCUCUUUAAAGCUUCCAUCUUCUUUGGCGUAAACUGAUUUGAAAAAUGCCAAUUCGCUAAACACUCCUUUCUUCUCUUUCUGCAAUUUCAGGAAAAAAAUAAAUUGAAAACUGAAAUUUUGAAGUUCUUAAACCGACUAUCACUAUAUUUGUUUAACACUUUGAGUUGUUAUCCCCGUAGUAGGGUUGCUGGGUGCAUUGCCACUUUGCAAGGGGUGACAGAGUCGGCAACAGAGGCAGUGACAUCAGCAAGCUCUCUGCUAAUUGUGUCAGGCUAAGGGGAAUUCAGGAGUACAUUUCCGUGUAGAUGCAGGGAAGAUAAUAAACAGAAGAAAUAUCAGCCAAUAGUUGCUUUAUACCUGUAUUCAGUUUGUUUUGUUUCUGUAACAAGUGGCAAAUAUUAGUUCUAGUUAUUAAGAUAUUAGGUAAAUAAGUUUUUGCAAACUUGUUUGCAGGUACAUUUUCUUUGCAUUGUUUUUAGUUUAUCUUACAUGAUCCAAUAAUUAAAAUCAAUAUGGACAUUGAUGAAUCCCAUGAUCCCAGCUGGCCUCUAUGCUUUUGACAGAGGACUAACAGAUAAUCUAUCGAUUCUUAUAAUCUGAUAAUGUAAACAUUGACAGAUAAUUUGACUACUAAGUGAGUAAAUAAAAUGAAAACCCAGACCAAUUGGACGACUUCGACGCUGUCCCACGGGCACCAUAGGGUUCCGAUUUCCCCUCAUAAGAAGGAGAAGGAGAAGGAAAAGCCUAACUCUUUGAAGGUUGUGAGGGCAGCGCCGAAGGCAGAGUCGAAUACCGAUGCUAAGAGUGGAGUUCAGAAGUUUAGGGUCAAGCUGUUGCCUGAAAGUGGUGGCCAAGAGUGUCAUGGAUGUUCUCUGUAUGCCUUACUUCAAUAGCUGGGAAUAUCAUCAACUGAAACAAGUGAGAAAGUUGGGACAUUUUCACUUGCAUAUGCAGCUCACAAGGCCCCAUCUCCGAUAAAGUUUCUGCCUACAGUUGCCCUAACUCCAUUGUUGCUUCCUGGAUUUCAAGAAAGUAGAUAAAGAUAACUAAUCCCAGAAUAUAUGACUACUCUGUAUAUGACUUUUCUUCCAUUUGUGUAAUACCAGAAUAUGUUAUUGGAUACGUAGCAGAAUCAACUCUUUGUCAUUUCA